GGUCCAGACUCCUACGGGAGGCAGCAGUGGGGAAUAUUGCACAAUGGGCGCAAGCCUGAUGCAGCAACGCCGCGUGAGGGACGAAGGCCUUCGGGUUGUAAACCUCUUUUAGCAGGGAAGAAGCGAAAGUGACGGUACCUGCAGAAAAAGCACCGGCUAACUACGUGCCAGCAGCCGCGGUAAUACGUAGGGUGCAAGCGUUGUCCGGAAUUAUUGGGCGUAAAGAGCUCGUAGGCGGUUUGUCRCGUCUGCUGUGAAAAYUGRAAGCUCAACYUYSRRCCUGCAGUGGGUACGGGCAGACUAGAGUGCGGUAGGGGAGAASGGAAUUCCUGGUGUAGCGGUGGAAUGCGCAGAUAUCAGGAGGAACACCGAUGGCGAAGGCASUUCUCUGGGCCGUUACUGACGCUGAGGAGCGAAAGCGUGGGGAGCGAACAGGAUUAGAUACCCUGGUAGUCCACGCCGUAAACGGUGGGUGCUAGCUGUGGGCCACAUUCCACGCGGUCCGUGACGAAGUUAACACAUUAAGCACCCCGCCUGGGGAGUACGGCCGCAAGGCUAAAACUCAAAGGAAUUGACGGGGGCCCGCACAAGCGGCGGAGCAUGCGGAUUAAUUCGAUGCAACGCGAAGAACCUUACCAAGGCUUGACAUAUAGAGGAAAAGUGCAGAAAUGUACUCCCCGUAAGGUCUCUAUACAGGUGGUGCAUGGUUGUCGUCAGCUCGUGUCGUGAGAUGUUGGGUUAAGUCCCGCAACGAGCGCAACCCUCGUCCUAUGUUGCCAGCACGUAAUGGUGGGAACUCAUGGGAUACUGCCGGGGUCAACUCGGAGGAAGGUGGGGAUGACGUCAAAUCAUCAUGCCCCUUAUGUCUUGGGCUUCACGCAUGCUACAAUGGCCGGUACAGAGGGCUGCAAUACCGUAAGGUGGAGCGAAUCCCAAAAAGCCGGUCUCAGUUCGGAUUGAGGUCUGCAACUCGACCUCAUGAAGUCGGAGUCGCUAGUAAUCGUAGAUCAGCAACGCUACGGUGAAUACGUUCCCGGGC
rnacentral:rRNA from 1 species